AACGGCGGCCGUAACUAUAACGGUCCUAAGGUAGCGAAAUUCCUUGUCAGGUAAGUUCUGACCCGCACGAAUGGCGUAAUGACUUGGGCACUGUCUCAACUGCAAAUCCGGCGAAGUUGUAGUGCGAGUGAAGAUGCUCGCUACCCGCGAUUGGACGGAAAGACCCCGUAGAGCUUUACUGUAGCUUAGCAUUGAAUUCCGGUAUUGUCUGUACAGGAUAGGUGGGAGACUGGGAAACUAGGGCGUCAGCCUUAGUGGAGUCGUCCUUGGGAUACCACCCUGACAGUACUGGGGUUCUAACAGGACGCCAUGAAUCUGGUGACUGGACAUUGUUAGGUGGGCAGUUUGACUGGGGCGGUCGCCUCCUAAAAAGUAACGGAGGCGUUCAAAGGUUCGCUCAGCUUGAACGGAAAUCAAGCAAAAGAGUGCAAACGCAGAAGCGAGCCUAACUGCGAGACUGACGGGUCGAGCAGUAACGAAAGUUGGAGUUAGUGAUCCGGUGGUAUGUGAGUGGAAAUGCCAUCGCUCAACGGAUAAAAGUUACCCUGGGGAUAACAGGCUGAUCUCCCCCAAGAGUCCACAUCGACGGGGAGGUUUGGCACCUCGAUGUCGGCUCAUCGCAUCCUGGGGCUGUAGUCGGUCCCAAGGGUUGGGCUGUUCGCCCAUUAAAGCGGUACGCGAGCUGGGUUCAGAACGUCGUGAGACAGUUCGGUCCCUAUCUGUCGUGGGCGCAGGAUAUUUGAUGGGAGCUGUCCCUAGUACGAGAGGACCGGGACGGACGUACCUCUGGCGCACCAGUUGUUCCGCCAGGAGCAUAGCUGGGCAACUACGUACGGAUCGGAUAAACGCUGAAAGCAUCUAAGCGUGAAGCCGACCCAAAGAUAAGAUAUCCCACUGAUUUGAUCAGGUAAGACCCCUUGAAGACUACAAGGUUGAUAGGCACGAUGUGUAAGUGGAGCGAUCCAUUCAGCAAGCGUGUACUAAUAGGUCGAGGGCUUGACCAC
rnacentral:rRNA from 1 species